rnacentral:rRNA from 1 species
GAGUUUGAUCAUGGCUCAGAAUGAACGCUGGCGGCAGGCCUAACACAUGCAAGUCGAGCGAAGUCUUCGGACUUAGCGGCGGACGGGUGAGUAACGCGUGGGAACGUACCUUUUGCUUCGGAAUAGCCUCGGGAAACUGGGAGUAAUACCGAAUGUGCCCUACGGGGGGAAAGAUUUAUCGGCAAAAGAUCGGCCCGCGUUGGAUUAGGUAGUUGGUGGGGGUAAUGGCCUACCAAGCCGACGAUCCAUAGCUGGUUUGAGAGGAUGAUCAGCCACACUGGGACUGAGACACGGCCCAGACUCCUACGGGAGGCAGCAGUGGGGAAUCUUAGACAAUGGGCGCAAGCCUGAUCUAGCCAUGCCACGUGAUCGAUGAAGGCCUUAGGGUUGUAAAGAUCUUUCGUGGGGGAAGAUAAUGACGGUACCCCAAGAAGAAGCCCCGGCUAACUCCGUG